rnacentral:snRNA from 15 species
AUCCUUGCGCUUGGGGCAGUGUCGCAGACUGUGAGGUCUAACCGAGUCGCGACAGUGCCAGUUGAAAACUUAUUCCAUCCCCGUCGGUCGUCGUUCUUCGGAACGCUUCCGCAAUUUCUGUCGGGCCUUUUGGC